GGGUUGUGAGGUUAAGCGACUAAGCGUACACGGUGGAUGCCCUGGCAGUCAGAGGCGAUGAAGGACGUGCUAAUCUGCGAUAAGCGUCGGUAAGGUGAUAUGAACCGUUAUAACCGGCGAUUUCCGAAUGGGGAAACCCAGUGUGUUUCGACACACUAUCAUUAACUGAAUCCAUAGGUUAAUGAGGCGAACCGGGGGAACUGAAACAUCUAAGUACCCCGAGGAAAAGAAAUCAACCGAGAUUCCCCCAGUAGCGGCGAGCGAACGGGGAGGAGCCCAGAGCCUGAAUCAGUGUGUGUGUUAGUGGAAGCGUCUGGAAAGGCGCGCGAUACAGGGUGACAGCCCCGUACACAAAAAUACACAUAUUGUGAGCUCGAUGAGUAGGGCGGGACACGUGGUAUCCUGUCUGAAUAUGGGGGGACCAUCCUCCAAGGCUAAAUACUCCUGACUGACCGAUAGUGAACCAGUACCGUGAGGGAAAGGCGAAAAGAACCCCGGCGAGGGGAGUGAAAAAGAACCUGAAACCGUGUACGUACAAGCAGUGGGAGCACGCUUAGGCGUGUGACUGCGUACCUUUUGUAUAAUGGGUCAGCGACUUAUAUUCUGUAGCAAGGUUAACCGAAUAGGGGAGCCGAAGGGAAACCGAGUCUUAACUGGGCGUUAAGUUGCAGGGUAUAGACCCGAAACCCGGUGAUCUAGCCAUGGGCAGGUUGAAGGUUGGGUAACACUAACUGGAGGACCGAACCGACUAAUGUUGAAAAAUUAGCGGAUGACUUGUGGCUGGGGGUGAAAGGCCAAUCAAACCGGGAGAUAGCUGGUUCUCCCCGAAAGCUAUUUAGGUAGCGCCUCGUGAAUUCAUCUCCGGGGGUAGAGCACUGUUUCGGCAAGGGGGUCAUCCCGACUUACCAACCCGAUGCAAACUGCGAAUACCGGAGAAUGUUAUCACGGGAGACACACGGCGGGUGCUAACGUCCGUCGUGAAGAGGGAAACAACCCAGACCGCCAGCUAAGGUCCCAAAGUCAUGGUUAAGUGGGAAACGAUGUGGGAAGGCCCAGACAGCCAGGAUGUUGGCUUAGAAGCAGCCAUCAUUUAAAGAAAGCGUAAUAGCUCACUGGUCGAGUCGGCCUGCGCGGAAGAUGUAACGGGGCUAAACCAUGCACCGAAGCUGCGGCAGCGACGCUUAUGCGUUGUUGGGUAGGGGAGCGUUCUGUAAGCCUGCGAAGGUGUGCUGUGAGGCAUGCUGGAGGUAUCAGAAGUGCGAAUGCUGACAUAAGUAACGAUAAAGCGGGUGAAAAGCCCGCUCGCCGGAAGACCAAGGGUUCCUGUCCAACGUUAAUCGGGGCAGGGUGAGUCGACCCCUAAGGCGAGGCCGAAAGGCGUAGUCGAUGGGAAACAGGUUAAUAUUCCUGUACUUGGUGUUACUGCGAAGGGGGGACGGAGAAGGCUAUGUUGGCCGGGCGACGGUUGUCCCGGUUUAAGCGUGUAGGCUGGUUUUCCAGGCAAAUCCGGAAAAUCAAGGCUGAGGCGUGAUGACGAGGCACUACGGUGCUGAAGCAACAAAUGCCCUGCUUCCAGGAAAAGCCUCUAAGCAUCAGGUAACAUCAAAUCGUACCCCAAACCGACACAGGUGGUCAGGUAGAGAAUACCAAGGCGCUUGAGAGAACUCGGGUGAAGGAACUAGGCAAAAUGGUGCCGUAACUUCGGGAGAAGGCACGCUGAUAUGUAGGUGAAGUCCCUUGCGGAUGGAGCUGAAAUCAGUCGAAGAUACCAGCUGGCUGCAACUGUUUAUUAAAAACACAGCACUGUGCAAACACGAAAGUGGACGUAUACGGUGUGACGCCUGCCCGGUGCCGGAAGGUUAAUUGAUGGGGUCAGCGCAAGCGAAGCUCUUGAUCGAAGCCCCGGUAAACGGCGGCCGUAACUAUAACGGUCCUAAGGUAGCGAAAUUCCUUGUCGGGUAAGUUCCGACCUGCACGAAUGGCGUAAUGAUGGCCAGGCUGUCUCCACCCGAGACUCAGUGAAAUUGAACUCGCUGUGAAGAUGCAGUGUACCCGCGGCAAGACGGAAAGACCCCGUGAACCUUUACUAUAGCUUGACACUGAACAUUGAGCCUUGAUGUGUAGGAUAGGUGGGAGGCUUUGAAGUGUGGACGCCAGUCUGCAUGGAGCCGGCCUUGAAAUACCACCCUUUAAUGUUUGAUGUUCUAACGUGGACCCGUGAUCCGGGUUGCGGACAGUGUCUGGUGGGUAGUUUGACUGGGGCGGUCUCCUCCUAAAGAGUAACGGAGGAGCACGAAGGUUGGCUAAUCCUGGUCGGACAUCAGGAGGUUAGUGCAAUGGCAUAAGCCAGCUUGACUGCGAGCGUGACGGCGCGAGCAGGUGCGAAAGCAGGUCAUAGUGAUCCGGUGGUUCUGAAUGGAAGGGCCAUCGCUCAACGGAUAAAAGGUACUCCGGGGAUAACAGGCUGAUACCGCCCAAGAGUUCAUAUCGACGGCGGUGUUUGGCACCUCGAUGUCGGCUCAUCACAUCCUGGGGCUGAAGUAGGUCCCAAGGGUAUGGCUGUUCGCCAUUUAAAGUGGUACGCGAGCUGGGUUUAGAACGUCGUGAGACAGUUCGGUCCCUAUCUGCCGUGGGCGCUGGAGAACUGAGGGGGGCUGCUCCUAGUACGAGAGGACCGGAGUGGACGCAUCACUGGUGUUCGGGUUGUCAUGCCAAUGGCACUGCCCGGUAGCUAAAUGCGGAAGAGAUAAGUGCUGAAAGCAUCUAAGCACGAAACUUGCCCCGAGAUGAGUUCUCCCUGACCCUUUAAGGGUCCUGAAGGAACGUUGAAGACGACGACGUUGAUAGGCCGGGUGUGUAAGCGCAGCGAUGCGUUGAGCUAACCGGUACUAAUGAACCGUGAGG
rnacentral:rRNA from 1 species